rnacentral:rRNA from 1 species
GACGAACGCUGGCGGCGUGCUCAACACAUGCAAGUCGAACGAUGAAGCUGGAGCUUGCUCUGGUGGAUUAGUGGCGAACGGGUGAGUAACACGUGAGUAACCUGCCCUGGACUCUGGGAUAACCCCGAGAAAUCGGAGCUAAUACCGGAUAGGACCUCGGAUCGCAUGAUCUGGGGGGGAAAGUUUUUCGGUCUGGGAUGGACUCGCGGCCUAUCAGCUUGUUGGUGAGGUAAUGGCUCACCAAGGCGUCGACGGGUAGCCGGCCUGAGAGGGUGACCGGCCACACUGGGACUGAGACACGGCCCAGACUCCUACGGGAGGCAGCAGUGGGGAAUAUUGCACAAUGGGCGCAAGCCUGAUGCAGCAACGCCGCGUGCGGGAUGACGGCCUUCGGGUUGUAAACCGCUUUUAGUAAGGAAGAAGCCGCAAGGUGACGGUACUUGCAGAAAAAGGACCGGCUAACUACGUGCCAGCAGCCGCGGUAACAC